CUUAAGUUGCAUACAUUGUGGCAUUGACCUCACUGGAAACAAGUUUUGGGUUGCUGAUGGUUGUGUUAUUUCUGUAUAGUGCCACGCACUUACCACAGGAGCAGACGUUGCUCAUCUGCCUCACCUCCAAACCAUCCCAAAAAAGAUUUUUUUCACCAAUCAAUAAACAAUUUAGAGGUAUUUACAUUCCUAAGCUUUUCAGCUACUUUACAACAGAGUACAGUGGAGUGUGUACAGAAUUGCUUUUAUAGUUUACAGUGUUUUCAUGUGUAUCACUGGAUUUUCAAAAGUUACUAGUUCAGUGGUCCCCAGGGAUCAGUGAAGUGCUGACUGUAUUACUAUUUUGUAUUAUAUAAGGACAGUCUACACCUAAUUUCUAGAAUUUCAGUUGGGCAGUAGUGGUGUAUUGGCUUUAAUCUCAGCACUUGGGAUGCAGAGGCAGGAUGGAUCUGGGAGUUCAAGGCCAGGCUGGUUUGCUGAGCGAGUUCCAGGACAGCCAGGGCAACACAGAAAAAAAUCUGUCUCGAGGGAAAACAAAAAACAAAAAACCCAACCAACCAAACAACAAAAUAAUAUAAAAUUAGAUAAACAAUCAUAGGCACUGCAUUGAGUCGUUUAUAAUGUCAAUUUUACUAUGGGUAGUCAGUCCGGCUCAGCUUUAAACUUAAAAUCUAGAUACCUAGACAUCAGCCUGUUACAUUGGUGAAGAGUGCGAUUUCCUAUUGUGUUGUAUGGGCUCUUCGGAGGAUCGGUCCAAUAUGGACUAUCCCUUGGGCCUCAGUGAGUUCACGGAAGAGGAAACUGGUCCGCCCUCCAUUAAAGCCUUCCGGAACCUUUUAAAUGCCAAGGCCAUGACAUCACACGCUCUCUAUCUUCUUGAUAGGAAAACUAGUAAAUGUUCUGGGGCAAGUGAAUUUUGUAAAGAGAUACUAACUAGGCAGUUCCAAGUUUUACGGGGCUGUGGUAACACCUCUGUCACCACCACCCCAAUAGGACCCUGGAGAGGAGAUCGAGACCCCGGAGAGCCGCGCUCUGCGGGAGGGAACCAGGGGAGGCUGUCUCCCCUGCACCCAACUCGCUGACCACAGGGUACCACAGCGCGGCAGACAAGCAGCGCCAGCGUCCCCAGCCUCGGCCACGACAAGCCGCGGGCCUUUCCGCCAGAGAGCAUGCGCCGGGCGGGCCCCUGUCGCGACGUCAGACCGGAAGGAGGGCCCACUUCUCCAUUUCUGGGAAAGCCAGAUGGCCGCCGGGCGGGGUAGGGGAGGAGGGGCGGGGCGGGCCGGAAGAGCGGUGCACGAGCCGGAAGUCGUCACCUAGGCCCGCCCCAGCCCGGUCCCUUGGCUGCCUGUUCUGUGGGCGGUCCUAAGUGGUUCGCCGGCUGUCUGUCCUGGCGAGGGUGAUGCGGACAGCCCCUCCUUGGCCCCGUGCAGCGCCAGCCUUCUGUGACGCCGACAGCAGAAUCCUCAGUCCAGGCUGUGGUUGGGCCUGUGGCCUCAGAGCACUUAAAUGAACAUCUUUUGAGUCAACGGCUCUUUGGAAUUAACCUAGGAGGUCAUGUGGUGCCACCUGUCAGUGAUGACUGGUCAACUCAUUUCAUCCAUCAAGGGAAAUGCCAGUCCAUCGGAGGCAGGAUCGUAGUGCAGCCCCGGCUGCCCUGACACCCAUUAUGCACACCAAGCUGUAUUCAAGUUUGUGUGAGUCCUUCUGCCUUGGCCUUCCAAGUGCUGGGAUUGCAUCUGUCUGCUUUCAAACACUUAGAAGAAGGAGACAAACUUAUAAUUGUAUGAAGGGUCCCAGGGAAGGGCCCAGUGGAUAAGGCUCUUGCCGCACAAGCAUGAGGACUGGAGUUUGGAUCCCCAGAAUCCAUGUGAAAAGCUAGGUGAGAUCCCAGCACACAGGAGGCAGAGACAAGCUGGCCAAAAUGGUGAUUCAGUGAGAGACGUAAAGACAUCAAUCUUGAGCAACUACAUGUAUGUGCAAACGUAUACUUGCACAUGAGUAUCCUCACAUAUAGGAACACAUACACACACACACAAAUUGCAAGAUGGCAGGAGAGACAUUUUCUGUCACCUUGUAUUUGACACAAGGCUAUUGCUGAAAAUAGUAAUUGAAGGUUGACACAUGCUCCAUAAAAGGAAUCUGGAGGAAGCAGUGUGGAGGAUUCAUCCCUCCUGGAAUGGGUCUGCUUGCAAUUCCAUUGAAGGCCUAUAAUUCAGUUAGAACAAAAUCAUUUUCCCUUCAUUUUCCAUUCUAUUUUAUCCUUCUGGAGAACAGAAGAUGAAAGCUGAGGAGAGAUGGACCAGAGAGAAAGGCUGUUGUGGAACAGUUGGCUUACCUGCCCAGAGAGCAAGGAGGUUUGUUUCUAGUAUUCCAUGAUACAGUUUAGGAAAAGUUAAAGCCUUUCGAAGUACCAGCAUUACCCAAAAUGCAACACUCUAGGGGGAGGGGGAAGCUAGAGCUGGUUGAAGGCGGCACAUAAGCAGAGAGAGGGUCAAAACAGAGCCUUGAGAUCCUUUGGUUCAUAAUUACUUUGUAAAGAUUUAUUUAUACUUAAUGAAUUUAUUUAUGUGUAUGGCUAUCUUUGCCUGUUGUGUGUAAGUGGACCAUGUAUGUGUAUUCCUGGUGCCCCCAGAGGCCUAGAACAGACAUAAUUUACGGUUGUACACUCCGAUGUGGGUUCUGGGAACUGAACCUGACUCUGCAAGAGCAGCAAGUACCCUCAACCACUGUGACACUUCUCCAGCUUCCUGGAACUUCUUAUGUAUAUCAAGGCAAGGACUGAAACCCGAGUGUUCCUACGGUUCGGGAGGCACAGGCGGGACAAGCCCCCCUUCCCCAUUUGCAACCUUCCAGGUACUUUUGGAAGCUGAAGAGGAGACCGAUGACAAAGACUAUCAGGGUCAGCCUGGGCUAAAGCAAAGCAAAGGCCCCCGAGACCCCCAGCUUUUUCAAAAAGGAACUUCCCACAAUGUCACCUCCAGGGUGCUACCAAGUACAUAGGGGACAUCUCUAAUAUCACUAGGACCAAUCGUCCCCCUUAGUCACAUCAUCUGAGACAUGUAACCCCUUUCAUAUCUAACAGCCCUUAUCUUUGAAGAAAAGGAGAAGAGCCUUAGAGGGAGUUCAAACUGUGAUUUGACUGUGUUUAUGUCUGGAAGAGGGUAUUUAAAUAAAAUAAAUUAACAUUUUUUAAAGACA